rnacentral:rRNA from 1 species
GCCACUCGGGAGUGGCGGACGGGUGAGUACACGUGGGAACGUACCCUUAGGUUCGGAACAACACAGGGAAACUUGUGCUAAUACCGGAUAAGCCCUUCGGGGGAAAGAUUUAUCGCCAUUGGAGCGGCCCGCGUCUGAUUAGCUUGUUGGUGAGGUAAUGGCUCACCAAGGCUACGAUCAGUAGCUGGUCUGAGAGGAUGGCCAGCCACACUGGGACUGAGACACGGCCCAGACUCCUACGGGAGGCAGCAGUGGGGAAUCUUGCGCAAUGGGCGAAAGCCUGACGCAGCCAUGCCGCGUGGAUGAUGAAGGUCUUAGGAUUGUAAAAUCCUUUCACCGGGGACGAUAAUGACGGUACCCGGAGAAGAAGCCCCGGCUAACUUCGUGCCAGCAGCCGCGGUAAUACGAAGGGGGCUAGCGUUGCUCGGAAUUACUGGGCGUAAAGGGCGCGUAGGCGGACAGUUAAGUUGGGGGUGAAAGCCCGGGGCUCAACCUCGGAAAUGCCUUCAAUACUGGCUGUCUUGAGUACGGGAGUGGUGAGUGGAACUCCGAGUGUAGAGGUGAAAUUCGUAGAUAUUCGGAAGAACACCAGUGGCGAAGGCGACUCACUGGCCCGUUACUGACGCUGAGGCGCGAAAGCGUGGGGAGCA